rnacentral:rRNA from 1 species
GACGAACGCUGGCGGCGUGCUUAACACAUGCAAGUCGAACGGAAAGGCCCUGCUUGCAAGGUACUCGAGUGGCGAACGGGUGAGUAACACGUGGGUGAUCUGCCCUGCACUUCGGGAUAAGCCUGGGAAACUGGGUCUAAUACCGGAUAGGAGCCAUUUUUAGUGUGAUGGUUGGAAAGUUUUUUCGGUGUAGGAUGAGCUCGCGGCCUAUCAGCUUGUUGGUGGGGUAAUGGCCUACCAAGGCGGCGACGGGUAGCCGGCCUGAGAGGGUGGACGGCCACAUUGGGACUGAGAUACGGCCCAGACUCCUACGGGAGGCAGCAGCGGGGAAUAUUGCACAAUGGGCGCAAGCCUGAUGCAGCGACGCCGCGUGGGGGAUGACGGCCUUCGGGUUGUAAACUCCUUUCGCUAGGGACGAAGCUUUUUGUGACGGUACCUAGAUAAGAAGCACCGGCUAACUACGUG